UACAGAGGAUGCAAGCGUUAUCUGGAAUGAUUGGGCGUAAAGCGUCUGUAGGUGGCUUUUCAAGUCCGCCGUCAAAUCCCAGGGCUCAACCCUGGACAGGCGGUGGAAACUACCAAGCUGGAGUAUGGUAGGGGCAGAGGGAAUUUCCGGUGGAGCGGUGAAAUGCAUUGAGAUCGGAAAGAACACCAACGGCGAAAGCAAUCUACUGGGCCGACACUGACACUGAGAGACGAAAGCUAGGGGAGAAAAUGGG
rnacentral:rRNA from 1 species